rnacentral:lncRNA from 1 species
AAAAAAAAUACACUAUUCUAAAAAUUAUUUUCAAAACAAGUGUGUUUCUUUAACAUUAAAAAGUCAUUUAUCCAAAAAUAAUUUGUUACUCAUUUUUCAGCUUCACACAAAACGUCAACUGCAUAUUCAUUAUGCAGUAUCGUUUCGCAUUGGCCACAAAAACGGGACCGUUCUAAAAAAUUCGCCGUUCUCUCUCUGUCAGUUCACUCUGCUUCUCUAUUUAUACACGGUACGUGCUUCGUGAACAGAGCAACACGUCCAAAAGAAAUUUGUGAUACACAAACAGAGCAAAAAUGACUGUCCUCAACAACGGCAAUACGGAAUCGUAUGUCAAAAUUCCCAAAAUNNNN